UGGGGAAUAUUGGGCAAUGGGGGAAACCCUGACCCAGCAACGUCGCGUGAAGGACGAAGGCCUUCGGGUUGUGAACUUCUUUGAUCAGGGACGAAACAAAUGACGGUACCUGAGGAACAAGCCACGGCUAACUACGUGCCAGCAGCCGCGGUAAUACGUAGGUGGCAGCGUUAUCCGGAUUUACUGGGUGUAAAGGGCGUGUAGGCGGUCUUGCAAGUCGGAAGUGAAAUUCCCGGGCUUAACCCGGGCGCUGCUCCCGAAAGUGCGAGACUUGAGUACUGGAGAGGAUAGUGGAAUUCCUAGUGUAGCGGUAAAAUGCGUAGAUAUUAGGAGGAACACCAGUGGCGAAGGCGGCUAUCUGGACAGUAACUGACGCUGAGGCGCGAAAGCGUGGGGAGCAAACAG
rnacentral:rRNA from 1 species